rnacentral:lncRNA from 1 species
AUGCAUCAAGGCCCAGUGCUAGAGGACCCAGUUUUGCAGAAAGUGACAGACACAUACAGACCCAGCCCCUGCACCUCCUUCCCACCCUUACUCACACCCACUCACCAGAGCAGUGCACCCCUGCAUCCUCCUUGUGUUCACAGUCUCCAUAUCCCAGUGGCUGUGCGGGGCAGCCCAACAGGAAAGCCUCGCUUCCACGGCACCCCACCUCAUCCAGCCACACAGGCCCUGACCCAGGACCAAAGGCAGCUCCUUGCACAGCAUCCAUGGCCUGACCACAGCCCAGCUGGCGGCACACGACCUCUGCAUCUGCGAGGUCCCAGGCGUCAUCACACACUGUGCCCCAGGAGCCUCCCUGUAGCACCUCCACACGCCCUGCACAGCGGCCAGGGCCUCCAGCCAGCCGCACCUGAAGGCUUCCUGAAGAGAAGCUGAGUAAGGACCUGCCAGGCUUUGUGACAGCUAGAGCAGAAGAGAACUGGGACACAUACUCACCAGAGCACAUGACACCCACAUCCCGCAAGGACCCGGCAGGCACCAGCUGGGACACUGACACAUUGCACUGGGUCAGGCGGGCCUCUGAGCCCUUGCAGCGCACCUGGCUCAGCCCCACUGGGACAGCUCCGCGGUUAGGGGCAGUUGUGUCAUAGGCUCGCUGUGCCUCUCCACACCCAAGCUGCCUGCACACGACGCUGGCACCACGCAGGUCCCAGGCAUCAUCUAGGACGCGGCCCCACACUCCAUCCAGAGAG